GGUCUGUGUUUGCCUGGGAGGCAACAUCCCGCAUCUCACCACGUGUCAGAGGUGACUGUUUAACGCCAGCGAAAGGAAACAGACUUCACGCCGCACGGAGCUGAAGGAAACCAACCAAGAGCCACUCAAAACUUGGGCUUUGGCUGACGGAGGGCGAGGCGGAGGAGCAGCACGUCCAGCGUGUGACAAAAUCUGUCCUCUCCCUUUGCGGGAGACGUGCUUGGAGCUCAGAUAGAUGCCAACUUGGCCAACACCUUCCAGGGGACAGGUUGAGGGCAGACGUCCUGGGCUGGAGUUCCCACACCCUGGGGGCCCCAAGACUGGCCAUGGGAUUUAGUGUGAGUCCCUGACCUCUCUGAGCUUCAGCUUCCAUCUCUGAGAUAAAAGGAUGGGAACCCCUCACGCUCUCGUGUGGAGGCUGAAAGGGUGAAAUGAGUCAGGGUCCUGCUCUCUCUCCUUGUUUAUUCACUGCGCAGGUGAGACACUUGGGCAUAGCGAUGGCUGUGAGAGUGGUUUCUAGGGAGAAAGAACAUUUUUUCUGUCAGUUCUCUCACAGGCAGCCUCCUGUCUGGACUCUUGGUGUUGGGGGGAAGCAUGAAACUUCAGGGAUGGAUGCAGGUGUUAACAAGCUUCCCAGGGUAGCUUGGGAGCCACUCCAUGCAGGCUGUGGGAAAGUGCACCCCUGUUUCCAGGAGUUGCACCCAACAAAGUUACCAAAAACCUCUUGACCCACAUCUGCUAGUUGAAGGUUCGUACCAACUAAUUAGCCAGGCAACACCAUUGCUUUGGAUUUGCAAAUCUGCCUUCUGCAUUUGAACAUGCAGUUGUUGGGAUUUGUUUUCUGAAAUAUGUGCAUGUGCAUGUGCAUGUGCACGUGGUGAGGAUGGAUGUAAAAACACACCGGUCUUAGGUAUCGUCUAUUCUUGGAAAUGCGAAAGCCGUCUCCCCAGGGAAGCCAGCAGCAGCCAAGGCAGAUCCCAGAUCUAAGGGUCUGAAUCCCAGCUCUGCCCUUGACUAGAUGGGUACUCAGAGUAAAUUUCUUGAUGUCUCUCA